AUCAUGUCCGCGUAACUAAACUAUGAAGCAAAAUAAAUAACAAUGAAACUAUAUAUUAUAUAUCAUAGAUAGAUAGAUAGAUAGAUAGAUAUCCGUCUUAAUGACGGAUGGCAAUCUGAAAGAGACGGAUUUAUUCGAGGUCUUCGUUGCCUUUUCCACAACCGCAAGAAUACGAGGUGUUUCUCUCUCAGCUGGUGUGUAAUCUGUUUGAAGAAGGCAACGCUCUCUAC